CCCCGGUUCGGCGAUAGCGUGGCACGGCAACGACUGCUGCAGACAGGUGGACGAGAUUUCAUGCGGAUGCGGUUCGAACCCGAGGCCGAGGA
rnacentral:tRNA from 1 species